GGCUCUGUGGCCCAAUUGGUUAGCAUAUUUGGCUGUUAACCAAAAGGUUGGUGGUUUGAGCCCACCCAGGGAUG
rnacentral:tRNA from 1 species